GUGAAUCUUUUGAAAGAUUUGCAACAUUUUCGCCGAAGGAAAACGGGACAGAUUCACUCAUCACUACUAGUUACUGAUGUUUUUGCUCAGGCCCUCUUGUAUUCAUUUUCCAUUCUGCCUUAUAUAAUGCGGCCUUAGCAACCAGAUACCAGUAAAUAUAUAAAAACCACCAAAACUGUAAUAUAGCAAAUUCUCUCAGUAUCACGCUGUCUUUUGGUUUUAAGGUGGACUACCCCUUUAUUAGUUUAAUAAUCUACUGCUAUAUAAACAGUUCAUCAUAAAUGAACCGCUAUAAAGUUUUUUUUUUAGCAUUGAAUAAUGAAAUGAAAUCAUUAUCCAAAACAAGACAUUCAGUAAAUGCUCUACUGAUUGUGAUUAAAAAGCAGCUUUAGUUUCCCUGUCUGUGACCCAGGACUACAUUAGCCGUGAUGUCACUGCAGCAGCUGCUGGUGAUGUCACAAUGGCUGGGGAAUCAGUUUCUGUUGAGCAACAGAAAUCCAGUUCAGUUGCGUGUUGGGAGCGAGCGGAGCAACAUGUUGCAGAGCUUUAUCUCAAUAUUUACUUUAUUUUUUCUAUUUUUACUUGCGAAAGCAAAUCCAAUGGAUAUUCCAAAAGCAGAACCUGAAACUGCAAAUGGUUUCCUUCAGUUCGUCGCAUCUGUUGUGAAGGCCAGAUAUGCACUUCAGCAAAUCCAAUGGACAUUGAUCAUCAUUACUAUAUGUUUCAUUCUGGUUUUGAUCGGUUUAUUUUCCUUAUACUGUUGUUUCCGG